GGGAAAGUGUGUGAGGGGGUGUGGCUGCAUGUUUUUGUGAGACAAGAUUCUGAAGACUGAUUCUCUAACAGGUUCUCAGAACAAGUUAAUGGCGCCUCGAUGGGCGAUGUGCAGAAGCAGACCCCUGCCGUGUCACCAGGAAGGGGAUCAAAGAGGUAAUUUAUUUUCUGUCACAAUGAACUCCUUAAGGGCUGGACUUUGGAGAGAAGCUAAGAUUAUCCUCGUAGAUAUGCAGUGCUCAAUUAUACAAAGUUAGUGAACAGACUGAGGCUCAGUUCAUUGCUGCUUCCUGUUAGAAGACACCGGGCUUAGGAGAAGUGCAACAUGUAGCCUGAGCAGGUGUCAACUCCUGGGAUUGUAGGCUCGAUGGUGGCGUGACGUUAAACAGGAUGAACAUCACCACUUCUCUCUGUGUGCCUGGGAAGCGAACUUAUGUGCAGUUUAUUUCCCAGACCGUGGUACAUAAACAGUAAAAUAUCGGGUGGCAUUAAAGGAUUCGC